UACGUAGGGGGCGAGCGUUGUCCGGAUUUAUUGGGCGUAAAGGGCGCGUAGGCGGCCUUCUAAGUCGAACGUGAAAUCCCCGGGCUCAACCCGGGAACUGCGUCCGAUACUGGAAGGCUUGAAUCCGGGAGAGGGAUGCGGAAUUCCAGGUGUAGCGGUGAAAUGCGUAGAUAUCAGGAGGAACACCAAUGGCGAAGGCAGCUCGCUGGGACGUGACUGACGCUGAGACGCGAAAGCGUGGGGAGCAAACAGG
rnacentral:rRNA from 1 species